rnacentral:misc_RNA from 1 species
CCAAUCUAAAAAAUCUAUAAUUUUAUCAACUUUAAAGCUCACAUUUUAAAUUUUUCAUUCAAAUGGAAGGUAAAAUUAAAUGACCAACAAUGAUCGAGUCUUAUAAAGUUGCAAAGGAGAUAAUAUUUGAUCAACAAAUGGGAAACAAUCAUGGAUUCUUUUGUUGUUCAGUAGGCUUGAUUGGAUCGAACUCGAGAAGUUCCAGGGGAAACAAUGAUCCAACACUAUGGGUGACAAAACGAUGUAACCAAGGAAAAUGAAAUAGUAGAAACCAACCAUUUCCAUGUCCACGUCCAUUUCCAAUAAAAUAGGUGAAGACCAACUUAGCCUUGAAACUGGCCAAUGCAAUUGAGACCCUUGAGCUUGGAGACACGAGAUUCGUUUCGUUUCAUAUCCACCUUGUAACUUGGAAGACAACUCUUCAAGGCCCUGUUCUCUUCCAUUAACCUGUUGAUUUGGGCGCGAAGUUGUUUCAUCACUUCUCUCUUCUCUUCAUUUCUCCUUAUUAGCUCAUUCUGUUGCUUCAAAUUGUCCUCAAUCAGUUUUGAAACCUUUUGCCUCGUUUGAUUCCAUAUAUUCUCCUUCUCUUCGCUAUCAUCACCAGCUAGUACAAUCUUCUUCAGCCCUCCUCCGUUCAUAUUAUCUCCUUGAUUAUCUUCUUCCGUCUUGCAUUGUUUACAUGAAACUGGUUUAUUCAAGGAAUGCUGCUCGAAGCUGGAGAUUUGAGUUUUAGUUUCAGAAUCUUCUUGUUGAACCGACUGGGGUUGGGAAAUUGGUGAUUCCUCUAGUUUGGUUGUCUCAGUAUUUUCUUUGUUAGUGUUUUGUAGGAGCUUCAGUGAAGAAGAAGAAGAAAGAGGUGACCUCAAAUGGGCAGCAGGAAUGAAUUCUGCAGAUCUUAGCUGGUCAUAUUUUUCAGCCAAGGAAAGAUAGGAAUUCUGCAGGUCCUGCACGAUCUUCAAGAGCUCAGGUCUUCUCUUAUAAAACCUCUCAGCCCUAUCCACAAAAGAAUCUCCAUCAUCUUGUAUAAUAUUGACCAUCAUUUGAAUCUUCUCAUCCAAAUCUGAAAGAGUGGCUUGAAGCCAUGGAGAUUGAAGGGGUCGAUUAUGGCUGCCUGACCACCAUGAAAAAGAAGCAGAGAAGUCAUGUUUCUCGUCCUCCAUGGAAAUCUGAAAUGUUUGUUAGGAAAGGG